ACAUCAGAAAUGUCGUCGUUUAAAACAGGCAGGGCUAUAAACCCGCUUCAGCUUUCCAAGAAUAGUUAUGAGGGUCUACUCUGGAGGAUUAAACUCCCUGAGAUUGGAAGGUUGCGGCAUUGACAGAAACUUUCACGAAAGGUUGAGUCUACCUGUGAAAAACAGGUUCCACACCCCAACACUGACUCACCCAAGCAAGCACAUAAGCAAACCACCUUCAUGUUUAAUCAAAAUAAAGAACCCUUUUUAAUUUUUGCAUUUUUUCUUUCAAACAGUUUUGUGAUGAUAUUCUACAGAAUUGUUAUCCUGGCAUUAUGAAAACAAUUGUUUUCUAAUUUGUAUAGUAUACCAUCUUAAACUUGCAAGUAAUCAUUUUCGACAUUUACAACGUUUUCAUUUCAGAUAUCCUGCUUGAAAAUGGAGUAAAACAGAACAGUCCGGCACACUAAGAACAGUUCUGAACACCAGUGAGAUUUCAGACUAAAUCCAGAAUAUUUAUUAUCGAGUCAAGGGUUUAAUUGUGAAAUAAAAACCAUGAAUUUAGAUCAGCAACCCUAGUGAAUAAUUAUGCAUCCGAAUCAAAGUUCAAGACGUUCCCUUGAGACGGAACUGGACAUAGCGGUUAAAAGCGGAGAGUUAAAGUUACAAUGCAACAAUUUAUCAGAUUUCCCUCGAAGUUUGGGAAAACAUUUCGUCCUAACGGAUACACGGAUAGCAGAUCUAUCAAGAAACAAACUUGUGGAAUUACCGGUAGACUGCACUUACUUCCCUAGUCUGGAGAAACUUAUCCUUUAUCAUAAUAUUAUUAAAUCCAUCCCUGACUCUAUAUCUAGUUUGCAGACCCUCCAGUAUCUUGACCUGAGCAGGAACCAGCUUUCAUUCAUCCCUCAUGCAGUUUGCCAGCUCUCACAGUUACAGAGUUUAGUUUUAAACAAUAAUAAACUUGUUUCUCUGCCGGAGGAGAUUGGAGAACUAACCAACCUAAUGCAAUUAGAUGUCUCCUGCAACGAGAUUGCCCAUUUACCAGUUCAGAUCGGAGAUCUAUCCAACCUAAGAACUCUGAGUUUGAGACGAAACCAUCUCCAGGAGGUUCCUGUUGAGCUAACUUACCUCCAGCUGAGCACUUUGGACCUCUCGUCCAACAGGCUGAGCAACCUGCCCGUGGAGCUGAGGUUCAUGAUCACCCUAGUGGAGUUGAACCUCGAGGAGAACCCCCUGAGUUGCCCUCCUGCUAACAUGUGCUGUAGAGGACGGGUUCAUAUAUUUAAAUAUCUUGAAACUAUUGCCAUCAAGGAGGAUAAGAAGCGUGGAAUACUGGCGGAUACUGAACAUCGGAGAAGUUAUCGGAAGACCAGUCAGAUCGGAGAUAUGAGGUUCGGAGCUGUCAGUGCAGAUGCAAGAUUGAAACGACACACUGCGGAUAGUGGGUACGGUAGUGAACAGCCCAAUGCUAGACGGUGGAGUACUGAGCUCCAGGAUGGACCUGAUCAUCAUGCAGAGGAUGCCAGGAGACUGGCACACAGAGCAAUUAGUUACCGCCCUGCUGUCAACUCCCAAGGGUUUGGUUCCUCCAAUGGUCCAACGUCUCCGACCAGUUUAUCUCCGAAACCUUCUCUCUCUGUACAGAUCUCCCAUCCAUCCUUGGCUAGUAACGGUUCCGGGAGCAGUGGAGUAUCUUCUCUAUCCUCCAUGGGAGCUACUUUGGAUAGCUCCGUUGACAACAGUAAAGAUGUCUGUGAUAACCCUAAGUGGAAUCAACCGUCGCAGUUGAAACCCUCUGAACCUGUUAUACCAGCUCGUAACAGUUUUGUAGCCUCGGAACCUAUGGUGCAAGUUUCCAACGGCAGAACGAACGGUAAAAUUGAGAAGCGGGUUUUCAAUGGUGCAAACCCUUUCCAACCUAACGGGACUAAGAACAUUAUCGCAAAAGGUCCUGCAAUUCAUAGAAAUCGUGAUCUUUCUCUGACUAAUCUUGAUCGAAAACCAGUAAACGGGAAUGGAACGGAUGCAGAUCAGGCAAAAAAAUCAAUUCUUAAAUCUAGCCGAACCAACAGUAACUCUUCUCUACCAGGAAAGUUGCCUGUGCCUAACCAAACCCUGAGUCCAAGACAUAGUCCGACUAGUCCUACUAGUCCUGUAUCUUCUGGCCUUCCUAGUCCCAAUUCAAUCAAAAGUUUUGGGAGCUAUCAUUCCAAUCCAAACAGCUCCGGUCUCCCAAAUCCCACCGCCUUCUCCAGUCAACAAAACAAAACAUCAAACUUCCAAACCUAUCGUCAAUAUAAGGAGCAGCAGAAACUUAGCCGACAAACCGACUCUGUUUACAAAACCGAACAGAAGAGUUAUACCAGCCAUUCCAACGUUCAGAAAACCGGGGUAGAGAUACGCUCCUAUUACGAGCGAAUGCAAACAACUACUACGCCAAGAGCCGGGGCUCCGCCUGAAACUUCUCCGCCGCCUCCGCCUUCGUUGAGUAAAUCUCCAGUAUCAAGAACUGCAAUUCCAACCGCAAACCGGAGUCCGAGCAGUGUAAGCACUGGAUCCUACUCCAGAGCCCCUGCUCCGGCUCGAGUUAAGGAGAAAUCCCUGUUUACUGUGAAACGGGACUCUGAUAGAUCAGCUGUACAAGAUAUGCAUAUUCAUCAUCUUAGACAGAAUAUUGAGCAAAGGUUGAAGAUAUCUCUAGGAGACGAUCUACCCGCCUGUCUGACAGAUGGGGUUGUGUUAUGUCACAUGGCGAACCACGUCGCUCCGAGAUCUGUCAAUUCUAUCCACGUUCCGUCUCCGGCGGUUCCUAAGCUCUCCGCCGCUAAAUGUCAGAGGAACGUUGACAACUUCCUCUCAGCCUGUCGUAGGAUCGGAGUAAGAGAAGAUCUGAUUUGUGGAAUCUCAGAUAUAAUGGAACCUAAUAAAAGCCACACGGUUCGAGUUGCUAUUACAGUAACCGAACUACUUAGAUUUAAAAACGGUUAACGUCAAAAGUUUUAAUAUAAACAUAAGCUUCAAAAGUGAGAUUUGCUAUUCUAGUUUCUCGUAUAAGAUGUAAAUCCAGACCAGUCUUGUUCAAUGUGGUAAAAUAGAAUCUCUAAAUAUCAUAAUUACGUUUUCUUUUAUCGGUUUACUAAACUUCCGGCUCUAUCAAUAAAUUUAUAGAAUGUUUAUCUGAACAGAGAUAUCCUUGUCCUGUAUAUUUCAACCCAACUAGAAAUGCAAAAUCUUAGUCAAAAUAUGUUUUCAUUCUCUACUUUAAACCAAAUAAACGAAGAAGGGAUUAGUGUUAAUCGGAAAAUUACACUCAGGGGGUGGUUGUGACCUUGAAGUUAAACAAUUUGAAGGUUCUAGAAGUAUUUUAAAUUCUUUAAAGAUUUCACGCUUUUACGGAUAUAUUUUCCCUUUCUACCGAGGUUCUUUGUAUUCUGGCAUGCUUUUUGGUUGUUUGGUACGCCAAGGUGUCCUUCCGGGUAAUAAAAAGGUACUCCUGGUUUCCAAGAUAUAGUUUGCCAAGGUUUCUCUCCCGUACAAUCGCAGGUUUUCUAAAGUUUAAACUAAGAUAUUCGAAACUACCCUUAAGCCCUCAAGACUUCCCAGCUAAACAUUCAAAAUAUGUAUUAAGUUAUUUUUGUAUUUAAAAUGAACAUGUUGUCAAAUCCCGCAUUUUAUAGUUAUAAAAAAGUAAAUUUGUUGAAAGUAUCUUCCUUUUACGUUGAGUAAACGUUGAUUUGAAUCUCUUUAAAUUUCAAUUCUAAAUAAAUGCCUAUUUCUUUACAAUUCCAGAAUUGCCAAAACUUGCAUUAGAAAUUGAACUAAAAAAGAAUAUUACCAUUGUAUUGUGCCAUUAACAUAUAUUGGUCUAAAAAUUGUCAAAGAAAUGUUCUUGUAACAACCCCCCCCCCUCCACCAAACACCCCUGCAUUAAUGUUAUAUAUGAAAAGAGAAUAUUUUUAUAAUCAACCUUGUAUUGUUUAUCGAUCUUAGUGCUAGCGCAGAGACCGAUAAAGAUAGAUCUUAGAUUUUCGUAAAUAUAUUAAAUUGAACCUGUUGUAUUUAGUUACAGUGUGACGAACACGUUGAAACAUUAAAGUAUUAUUUAUACAAUGCCUAUUCCAGAA
rnacentral:misc_RNA from 1 species